rnacentral:lncRNA from 10 species
CUGGGAGAGCCAGUCCACGGAGCCAAAGCUGGAGGGCAGCUGCCGGCCACAAGUUGGGGAGGAGGAGAGACGCAAGGCCGUCAGAUGCUUGUCCUGGAAACCAACCAUGAGCUGUGAUGAAAUCCAGGCAACUGAGUUGUGUUUCAGCCCAAAGCAGCAAAUGGAAUCCAGCUUCAGGACCAUCAUCUGACAUAGGGGAAGAAGACUUACAUAGAAGGCCUAACCAGCACCCAAGAUCAUGGCUGGUGUCAGAGAAGGCUGAAUUGGGUACCAAGACAUUCCUUCUCUCCAGGUGGUAACAAGGACCCUCACAUGGUAUUAAUGAAGACCAAAUGUUUGAAUUUCUGCUUGACUUCUUCAAUUGUGAAAUCUGGAUCUAUGCAGAUUUGCUGCUUGUUGAACCUCUCAAAUACUGAAGGGAAGUUUCCUGGCGGUCUCUCGUCAUAUGCUGUUUACUAAAGGAAUAGUUUCCGAUCUGCUGUAAGAAGUACUAUGCUGUCCAUUUGUUCCAGGACCUUAUCCUCUGCAGGUUUAAUGCGCGUCCGUGUGAAGAGACCUGUCAAUAGUGGGGCCACUGCCAAACAAGAUUU